rnacentral:rRNA from 1 species
UACGAAGGGAGCUAGCGUUGUUCGGAAUCACUGGGCGUAAAGCGCACGUAGGCGGACGUGUCAGUCAGGGGUGAAAUCCCGGAGCUCAACUUCGGAACUGCCUUUGAUACAGCACGUCUUGAGUCCGAUAGAGGUGGGUGGAAUUCCUAGUGUAGAGGUGAAAUUCGUAGAUAUUAGGAAGAACACCAGUGGCGAAGGCGGCUCACUGGCCCGGUACUGACGCUGAGGCGCGAAAGCGUGGGGAGCAAACAGG